rnacentral:miRNA from 1 species
AUUUGAGUCCACGAUGCACCUUG